rnacentral:rRNA from 1 species
UACAGAGGUGGCAAGCGUUGUUCGGAAUUACUGGGCGUAAAGGGCUCGUAGGCGGCCAACUAAGUCGGAUGUGAAAUCCCCAGGCUUAACCUGGGAACUGCAUCCGAUACUGGAUGGCUUGAAUCCGGGAGAGGGAAGCGGAAUUCCAGGUGUAGCGGUGAAAUGCGUAGAUAUCUGGAGGAAUACCGGUGGCGAAGGCGGCAUCCUGGACCGACAUUGACGCUGAACGGCGAAAGCUAGGGGAGCAAACGGG